rnacentral:rRNA from 1 species
UACAGAGGGUGCAAGCGUUAAUCGGAGUUACUGGGCGUAAAGGGCGCGUAGGUGGUUGUGUAAGUGAGAUGUGAAAUCCCUGGGCUUAACCUAGGAACUGCAUCUUAUUCUGCAUAACUGGAGUACUGUAGAGGGUAGUGGAAUUUCCGGUGUAGCGGUGAAAUGCGUAGAGAUCGGAAGGAACACCAGUGGCGAAGGCGGCUACCUGGACAGAUACUGACACUGAGGCGCGAGAGCGUGGGGAGCAAACAGG